rnacentral:rRNA from 1 species
GACGAAGGAUGCAAGCGUUAUCCGGAUUCAUUGGGUUUAAAGGGAGCGUAGGUGGCCUUAUAAGUCAGUGGUGAAAUCUCUCAGCUUAACUGAGAAAUUGCCAUUGAUACUGUAGGGCUUGAGUACAGACGCCGUUGGCGGAAUAUGACAUGUAGUGGUGAAAUACAUAGAGAUGUCAUAGAACACCGAUUGCGAAGGCAGCUGACGAAACUGUAACUGACACUGAGGCUCGAAAGUGCGGGGAUCAAACAGG